CUAAGUUCAGGAAUCAAUACUGCAUUCCCCGCAGCCAAUAAAGGAAAGCUGACAGCAUGAAUUAACUGAAUGUAGCCAGUUGCAUGGAGGGCCAUUGUCUUUAACGAAAAUUGGGACGAUUACCAGCUUCCAUCACUUAGUGGAGGCUUUAAUGCAAAGCGCGAGGUUGCGGUAAUUUAAUUUUGGCCCGCUGCUCUGACACACUCCCCUUUGCUACCGCUUUGUGGAGGCCAAGCUAUUAAUGGCUGCAAACCAAAACACGUAGGAGACAAAGGCAGAGAGACACAGGCACACAGAGGCAGCAGCUACUUCUGAUUUAACAGAAGUUGUCUGGUAGUGUUUACAGAUAUUGGCAGGCACCAUUCUUUCCCCAAAGAGUGCUCACCACUGAAGUAAUCCACAGGACGUGAGCCAAAGCAAUCUGGCCUGAACCCCUCCACAGACUGCAGGGGCAGCUAUGAAGAGGGAAGGAAGAAAGUUGGGGAGAGGCCAUAUUGCUGCUUAUCUCUUGCGCUUCCCAGUUUGGUUGAGAUGCUUUACAUCUGGAGAUGCGCUGGAAGGAUACAGGCCUGGCUAAUUAAAUGCAAACUUCAUAGUUUUUGCUUGCUGCUGUUGCUGGUGGUGAUGCUGAGAGGACAAAUGAAAUGGCAUUUUGCAAAAAAGUAAUGGGUUUUACUCCAGGUGCAAUGAAAUUGAAAACUGUAGUUCCAUCUGACAGGUAAUAUUGCUCAUUCGAAUGGUUUUAAGCUCGGUUAUUUAAAGGGGCAGUGUAUUAGUCACAAACCAUUUAACACAAGCUUUUAACUUGUUUUCACAUUUGACAGUGGUAGGGGAGUCUGUCUGAGAAGUAACAUUUUGAAAGCAAUCGCGCUCUAAAGUUUUUAUCUCCUCUUUGUUUGCUGUGAAGUAGUAAGGCAGGUAAUGGUUUUGUUGCCUGCUUGCCCCCCUGUAUGAGGCAAAACUGGGAAAGGAGGCCUCAUUGGUGAGAACUGGAGAGCUGCUCUGUCCGAAGGAUGACCAAGGCCAAGCCAUGUCGAUUGGCACUAGGAUACUUCACACAUCCAUGGGGAAUCAAAGGGGAAAGGUUGUGCUGCCUUGCUUCGAACAGAAUAAUUACUUUAAGGUGUCUCUUAUGGUGGUGAUAAUGAGAAGAGGAUGUUUUAUUAUCAAACCACUUUUAUCCACUGAUCAUGAAGAACACAAACUGAUUUGGUCACCACACUCCAGACACAAUAUAAAGGUUUAACAUACCCUCUAACACUUUGAAGCCAAAAUCUGGGAUGCCAUCUUCUCGUUUUUAACUAGCAAGCAUGAAGGUCAUUUGGGUUGCCGUGAUCUCACACAAUGCCCCCUCCCCGCAAUAAAAAAUAAUUUGGGGGGCACAGUGCCUUAUAGGCAUAGGAUUCAAUAAACAAUGUUUAAAAACCAGGUUUCCAUAACUUAACUCAAAUAUAAGGUAAAUGUAUCAGCAUUCAGAACAAUAAGCACCUUCUUCCUUCAAUGGAAAUACUGAAGUGUGUGUUUGACAGAUGGACUGAGUAGAGAUGUUGUAAGGACCCCAGAAAACAUAAUAAACACCACUUUGGUUUGGUGGUGGGUUUCGAUGUUGGAGAUCUAGCAUUAAAUACCUGCUCAGUAAUGAAAGUUGUUGAGUUGUUUUGCGAAAAGCAUUUCUCAGCAGCUUGAUUCAUCACAGAGCUGCUGAAAAGAUCAAUGAGACAAGAGAAUAUGAAGGUACUUUUAUACACCAAAAAGUGCUAUAGAAAUUAUUACAAAUACAGUGUGCAGAUGUAGGGCUAUUUAUGAGUCAAUGAGAUCUGACCUUAUAUGUUACUGCUCUGAUGGGCAUCAAUAAAAAAUUACUAGGGAUUUCAGCAUGAACAACCAUUAUCCCUAUGAGACACAAGUUCCACAGUGUCUCUCAGAGUGCCAUUUAAGCAUCAAGACAAACGCAUCAAGGGAAAUGUUUUACAAAAGUUCUAAGUACUUAACUCAGUGUGGCCCUCAUAGAAGAUUCCACAACAAGACACAGAAUAGGGCUGCAGGGACACAGCUCUGGCCCCUUCCUGAGGUUGCAUGAUACUGCUGGCCUCAUCCUUGAUGACCCCAUUUUAUGCACAGAGAAAGCCUACACACAUAGACCUCUAUGCACAUAGGAUUUCCUGGCAUUCUGGACUGUUGCAUGAUCAAGGUCCCAGAAGAUAGAGAAAGCCUGCAUGUAGCUACCACAUGACCUCACAUGUAGGGUCAGAGGUGCACCCCCACUGUCCUGUCUGUGCUGCACAUGUAAGGGGGCUAGAGUUUUCAUUUGAAAGAAGGAUCCAGCCUUAGGGCUGCUGAAAAUAUCAGUUAGGUCACAAAAAAUUUAUAAUUCUAAUGCAGUGUGCUAUGCCUCCCUAACACAUUUUUUAAAAAAAUAGGAAAAUAUGUUUCGUACAACGUGAAAACACUGACAGCUAGGGAGUUUGGCAAUCUGAAAAAUGACUUUUCAGAAAGAAAACAAGGACAAUACACAUUCAGCUUUUCUUUGAACGUAAUGAAUUAUUUGGAUUAAAAAGAGAAAAUGAUGGGGAAACAAAAAUAAUACUAAUUAACAUUUCUUCAGUUCAAAAGGAAUGUUGCUUUGAUAAAUAGCGUUGUAUAUUUACAGUACACACAAGUCCUCCUGGGAAUGAAUGUUUAUUAAAAUUCAGUUACCAAUUUCCAUUACACACAUUAUUUCUCAAGCCCAACUUUCCGUGAGAAAGCUAUAAUGCUCCAUAUACUGUCACUUGAUAUAGUCACCUUGAUUCUGAACACUUAAUGUGGAAGAUUCAUUAAUUUCUACAGAACAUUCAAAGGUGCUGUGAAGGCAACGUUUCUGGUCUACACAUUCUCAUUUUGUGGUGCAAUGAAAUCUGGAGCAGUGGAGGUGUGAUGGAUAGAUGGCGUGGUCAUGUACCACUGAGUUAAACUACAUGCCAUUUUAAUCCCUCCCCCCUCUAAGAGCUCAUCCACACUUCUGUUUAUGACGUGAUUUCUAGGUCUGUGACUUGCAGAUGCAGAUCUGAGCAGAUUGUUUUUUCCCUGCCUGCCAUAUUCCCUGGGAAAACCUGCUCUCUAUUGCUGAAUUGGAACAUACGUCAAUCUGCUGAAAACCCAAAUAUUUGGGAAGUGGCAGGAUUUUUGUUUUUUUGGGGGAGUUGUUUGUUUGUUGUUUUUUUAAAAAACCUCUCUGGUCUGUGUCUGGAAAUCAUGGAUCUGUGCCUAGAAAUUAUGCCACAAACAGAAGUAUGAAUGAGCCCAAAGUCCAUUUAAAGCAAUACCAUACUGCUUUACUUCUCAGACUGGCUUUACAAUCAAUCCCUCUUCCCAGGGAACUCUGGGAAUUGUAGUUCUGUGAGGGGGAUAGGGGUCUCCUAACAACUCACAGUACCUUCAGUGAACUGUAAUUCCUAGGCCUCUUUGGGGGAAGCCAUGAUUGUUUAUAGUGUCAUUAUGCAGCAUUAAAUGUGUAAUGCAGGUGUGGCCUUGGAUAAAACACCAAAAUAUGAAAGCUGCAAUCCUUUCUGAAGAGUACAUUCUCGUCUUAAAUCAUUUGGACUUACACUUGCACAACUUCUUCUAUUGUAUUUAAAACAUUUAUUGCACUAACACUCUUCAUUGUGUUUAGCUUGCAUUUAAAUACAAACACUCUUGUGUAACUAGAAUAUCAAAGAAGUGGUUUUCACCCUCUAGAAAAUGGCAUCUGUUCUGUAAUUUUCACCCAAACAACUGCAAACAUCCCAAGAUGCCUGCAGGAGCAAUGAUGCUCUGAAUGAAAUACAGAGACCUUCUCAAUACAUUCUAACAUGUUUAACAAGGCUAAAACAGAAUCUAUUUCUCUUUUUGAAGAGAUUUUCUUCAGUAGUACUAUUUAUACAAUUUCUACGGUAGGAUAUGUAUAUAUACAAAAACUUCAGAAGCAUCCAUCAGUUACUAUGGGUGGAGAAAAGAUAUCUGUAUGCAUUGAAGGCUCUGUCUACAUGUUUUUCAUUGCAACAUUUCACAAUGACAGUGGCUUCUAUGCCAAAUUAUGAUGACCUACAUUAGCAACUCAGCUCCCAGAACAUAUUGAAAGCCAACACACAAGCCAAAUUUCACAAGGCAAAUGUAAAAUAUACUACUGGAGAAGCCUGAUUGUCUCCAUUAUUUCAAUUUUGGUUUUGUAUGUUUAGUGUAUGUUCAAUAGUGAAAUCAGAAAAUGGUCUGAUGGAGAUUUAAAUCGAGGUAAACAGCUGCCUUAGCUAGAGUUGGCAACUUUACCAUCUGAAGGUUCAACUCCCAGGGUCACCACUUCUGCACCUCCCAAAAGCAGGAAAUCAAUCACCAAACAAGAAGACUAAAGCAGCCAGAACUCCCUGAGAGACACCUUUCAUUGGUUGUUUCCAUCUCCUGUUUGCUGGCAUCACAGAAUCCUGCCUCCCUGCACCUACAUCAACAUCACAUGUGUGAGGCUGAUGGAAUAAGUGAUCUGAAUCAGCCAUCAGAACAAGCAGAGGCGUCGGUACAUCAAGAGCAGUGAAGAAAAGGGGGUGGCAAUUUUUUUUUAAAAAAAAAAACCUGCCAAGCAUCAGCUGAGCCCUCUAAAUCUUGAUUUUGCACAUCUGCAGAAGCAUGGAGAGAAAUCACUAUGCAUGAGAAGCACCCUAUUUAUAACACUCUCACCCUCUUUCCUAUGCAGCGUGAAGCUGUACAGGGAUAAGCUUUCUCACCAAAGGAUGCUUUUACCGAUUCACUGUAUCACACUUGCUGAAGGCCAACCUGGAAUCCUGAUGCAAGCAGAAAAUAUUUUUGUUUCACAAAAGACCUCCACCUAAAAUGGCAAUAACAACAUUUAUAUUCCAAAGACAUAUUUUCCUUGUUAAAAAUGUGUUAUUGCAGAGGACGUGAUCAAGUGAUAACACUGAAAAUAUUACACAAAAAUAUCUUAUAUUGCACCCAUUCCCUCAUUCACUAGCAGAAAGAAAGUAGUGUUAUUGAAGUACUUUCAAAAGACAGUUGCUAAAUUGAAUUUUUAUAUUACAUUGUAAAAGAUUUCAUCAGUCAGUGCAAUAUUCCUUUUGCCAUAUAUGCUUAAAUGUGUACUCCCGUUUAUGUAUGCCACUAUAGAUAGGUGUAUCGAUCAAUAGACACAGAUACAUAUAGGACUAUAUAUUAAUAUAGUUGUUUUGUGAGAACUACAGUAGAUUAAAUAAUUUUGCAUGA